CGCUGCUUGGCAGACAUUUAUCACCCGAUCCUGGGAGUGGAGAAGCCUCAGUGUGGCUGGUGGCCUGCCCGAGGGCUGGGCUGCCCCAGGAGCCGCACGGCUUCUCUGUGCCUGGCCCAAGGCCCUGCAGGUGCCCAGCAAGGCAAGGACACCCUAGCCUGGGCCGGAGGCUGGGGUGCUAGAUGUGUCUGGGGCCUGUGGAGCGCCUCGCCAGGAGCCACCUGCCACCUGCAGAGGCCAGAGACCCCUCAACCAGCACCGAGCAUCUGUUUCCAACAUGAAGAUGGAUGAACAACAGUGGGAGUGUGUGUAACCCCACAGAACUGCACAUGUAAGGCUGGACUUGGUGGCUCACCCUGUAAUCCCAGCACUUUGGGAGGCUGAUGCAGGAGGAUCGCUUGAAGCCAGGAGUUUCAGACCAGCCUGGGCAACAUAGCAAGACCUUGUCUCCACUAAAG
rnacentral:lncRNA from 13 species